UACGUAGGGUGCAAGCGUUGUCCGGAAUUAUUGGGCGUAAAGAGCUCGUAGGCGGUUUGUCGCGUCUGCUGUGAAAACCCGAGGCUCAACCUCGGGCCUGCAGUGGGUACGGGCAGACUAGAGUGCGGUAGGGGAGAAUGGAAUUCCUGGUGUAGCGGUGGAAUGCGCAGAUAUCAGGAGGAACACCGAUGGCGAAGGCAGUUCUCUGGGCCGUUACUGACGCUGAGGAGCGAAAAGCGUGGGGAGCAAACAGG
rnacentral:rRNA from 1 species